rnacentral:lncRNA from 1 species
GACUGAGAGUGAUAAUUCAUGUGAAGACUUAACGUAUUAACUUCGCGGCACAAGUUGUAUAUCUCAUGGAAUUUGUAUAGCCAAAAAACCCUAAAAUAACAAUGGCCUGAUGACAGUGUCGGACACAAAUGCUUGAAUAAUUGUGUGCAGCACUCUCAUAACCGGGGAAGCAUGUGCACUGUUAUCAAGAGAUCAGUAAGAUAAUUUUCACCGGCAGUAACACCGUGCCGUCUGUGAUGACGAGUGAUGUUGAGGUGAUGCUCAGUCACGCGUGCCGCGCCAAGCAGGCACGGGUGAUCUCAGCGCUGCAUUUAGUUGACUCGAAGCAUUCUAACCUGAAUCCUAGCGGCGCGGCAGCAUUUGCGAUUCCAAUGAGGUCUCUCGCCCGCAGCCAGACAUUGCGUACAACAGCUCGUGUUUGAUGGUUUGUAGCUCUAUGGUUUGACCAAAUGUGUAAACAGCCCUGAAUGUUGAGCGGAUCAUGUCGUGGAUCAUAUCGUCUGGAACGAUGGCGGUAUGCUACAGUGGUAUCCCGAGAGUCUGUGCUUGAUUCUUAGCAAGUAUCAUCUGAGAGAGUGCUUGGAGGAAUCCGAUGGAUCUUUGGCGUGUGCAUCUCGCAGGCUUGCCUGAGUAGCUGACCAUCAGGUAGAUUCAAGGCAGAAACCUGGCACAACAAAGAGAGGAAGACGAGGUCAAGUUUACGACUGGUACGCCACUGAAUACCUUGCCAGAGCCAGCCAUGCCAAAUGUUGACGAACUUCUCAUACGAAAAGAGCGGGAAACGCAGACUGUUCCGAGCGUCACAUUACUUAGUCCAGAGGACCGUGAAACGGCCAUCGUGGCGGGCACUAUCGGUGCGGCUCUGCUGCUGGUGUUCACCGUGGUCGUCGUGAUCGUCUGGUGCUCGUACCGCAACUACCCCUCGUCAUUGGAAAGAGUGAAAAGAAAGAGGCAGGGGUCAGGGUACCAGCAUCACAACAGGGUGCGGGCAAAUCAUGAAGUCUCACGACAAUGACAUCUUAGUUGUCAUAGUAACCACAGGCUGAAAAUCCAUCAUAUUGUGGACGCCUUCGGUUAACAGUGGGCAUCCACGAAAGGUUUACUCUUAUAUUUGAAAUACAAAUUACUUCUUGAAGACAACCGUGGACGGGACGGCCUUAGCCAGUAUUCAUUCAAACUGAAUUAUAACAUAUUGAGAGUUGCUUAAUUCUAGGCAUCAUUCCCAAUUUUUGAAUGGUGCUCCCCAAGCAGGCGUUGACCGCUCCCUGACACACUGACUGCGGUUAUUUGGCCCAACAUCCAUUACCCAUUCAACCAGAAGGACGACAAAUACGACUUUGAGAUCAAAGCUUCCGAUCAAUGACAGUCCAUUGUCCCAGAGGACAGUAGACAGUUCGAGGAAAUGUGUCAAGAUUGUAAAAGUUUGAAGGUGCCUGUUUGGAAGUCAACUCAUGAAAUAGUUUCUGUCCCUGGGGGUUUGCGACGACAAAACAAAACCUGCAAUGAAAUGAAUUAGGAGUGGCAUGGUAUCCAAGAGGUCAGCACACAGUGAACCAGUUCAUGACCCUUGUGCCCACCUAUGGUAUCCUGGAGAAAGGCUCGUGAUUCUUUUAUGAAUAUAAGGUGCCCUGGACGUCAGUCAGUGGUGUCCUUGAGGUAGACUCAUGGUCCUUGUAGCCACCAGUUGGCAUCCUUAUGGUUAGCUCUUAGUCCUUGCACUUGCAGCUGUCCACUGUGUCUUAAAGGUUAGUUCAAUGUCCUUACUGACACUCUUGGGACCCUGGUGUCCGGAAGGUCAGUCCAUGAUUCUUGCAAAUAGCAAGCACCCACUAUGUCCUUGAGGUCAGCUCAUGGGCCUUCUGUAGGCUUCCAGAGUGUCUUGAAGGUAGGUGCAUGGUCCUUGUAGGCACCCAUAGUAUCCUUGUAGGCACCCACAGAUCUUGGAAGUCAACCAUACAACAAAGAGGCCACCUUAUAGGCCAGAAAAAAUGUCAAACCAUUGUGUUGGAAACAGCACCAUGGUUGUAGUAGUCACCUGGAGUCUUAAAACAGUAAUACCUCUUGGUCCUACAUGUCACGAAUAUUGUAACUCUGACAUCAUCUGCAUUUUUUCCUGGACACAAAGUAGCACAAUGAAAAACACAUCUUUCCGUUGUGAAAGAAAUUUGGUUUUUAUCACAUGUAUACCUUUAUUGGGUUAAAAUUAGAACAAUGUAUUGCACACUGAAAAUCCCAGUACUUAAAACAGUGUGAUUUGUCACUGAGUUAAAGAAAUUUUGCUAUGAGGGUUUUUUAAUUGAUAGUUUGAAGUAUGCAGCUUCCAAUUCUUACGGCCAUAAAAAAAAAAUAAAAAAACAAAUUAUAAUGCCCAAGGCCUGGCAGAGGCUUGUUAUUAAAGGGAGGGGCUUAAUGAGUGAAGGGGUUUAGUAGAGGGUGGGGCUUGGUAAGGGGAGGGAGGCUUAGAAAGGGGCAGGUGAAACUGGGGUCAGUGCUUAUAAAUGAUGCGUUGCACUUCAGACUUUCUAGCUUACAUACUUUUUCAGUUGCACCACUAUAUAAUGUACGGUGUAUAUAUUGUGGUAGCUUUCCUGCAUGGAAUCCAUCUCAAAUGGUGUCUUAGUUAUGUCAACAACCCCAUCUGUUAGUUUGUAUAUCCACUGACAAAUGGCUGAGCCAAAGGGGUCUGUGUAGUGUACUCAGAAAUGAGCACCGAUCACUGGCAGUUUGAAACGAGCCCACGGACAAAAAGAGAAGCUAUCUUUGAUGUUUCGUAAGGCCAACUUCAUGCUGCUGUCAUCAAUCAAGAUUUUCGAUGAAAUGCCAAUAGCAAAGACUGUUCUUAAGAUGAUAUUUGCUUCCUGUGUGGACUGACAUUCAGGAGGAUAAUGCCAAUAAAAUUUGACAAGCUACUCUU